UCUUUUUCCUUCUCUCCCUCUCUUUUUCUCUCUCUUUCCCCCGACUCUCUCUCUCUCUCUCUCUCCGUCUCCCCGAUUAACUAAUCGAUUGGCCAUGCCCUGGCGGCCAAACAGUGACACAUGCCGGUCAGCAUGGAAGCCUACAAUCGGUAGAUCCUGGUGACCAAGUCUCGGGUCGUUUGGCCAGCGAAUGCAUGGGGAUCGAUGCUCCAACGUCAGAGGCCAGCGUCCCUCCACUUGUUAGUUUUUUGGUGGUCUGUAGCCAAUUUCUCAAUCCUCUCCCUUUAAUUUGAGCCUCUCGAAGCUGAUGGUGACCUCCAUUUACCUCAAUUCGAACUCGACUAUGGCGUACAAAGAGGAAGAAUUUGGCAACGGUUUUCGAUGGAAAAUUCAGCCACCACCAGCGAGGUCGAGCCUAGCAAAGGGGCAACAACCUAAUUCAGUUAAUGAAUAGCCUAGUAUUGUAUUUCUGCUAUCUACGAGAUCAGCAAGUUGGAUGACCACUCCUGACCAUAUUGGUAGCAAUGUACUUGCAACAGCUGAUAUCAUGGGAUCGUGUAUUAACAUACUAUAUGGUACAUUAGGUGUAUCUUCACUACGAUUGUGCAGGUUAUGUAAUAUAUUUAUCAAUUUUAAUUUUAUUUUAUCUAUUUAUGAUUUUGAUUUUUAUUAUUAUUAUUAUUUGUAUUAAUAUUUAUUAUUGAUAUUAUUAUUAUUAUGAUUUAUUAUUAUUA